GAUGAACGCUGGCGGCGUGCCUAAUACAUGCAAGUCGAGCGAACAGAUGAGGAGCUUGCUCCUCUGACGUUAGCGGCGGACGGGUGAGUAACACGUGGAUAACCUACCUAUAAGACUGGGAUAACUUCGGGAAACCGGAGCUAAUACCGGAUAAUAUAUUGAACCGCAUGGUUCAAUAGUGAAAGACGGUUUUGCUGUCACUUAUAGAUGGAUCCGCGCCGCAUUAGCUAGUUGGUAAGGUAACGGCCUACCAAGGCAACGAUGCGUAGCCGACCUGAGAGGGUGAUCGGCCACACUGGAGCUGAGACACGGUCCAGACUCCUACGGGAGGCAGCAGUAGGGAAUCUUCCGCAAUGGGCGAAAGCCUGACGGAGCAACGCCGCGUGAGUGAUGAAGGUCUUCGGAUCGUAAAACUCUGUUAUUAGGGAAGAACAAAUGUGUAAGUAACUAUGCACGUCUUGACGGUACCUAAUCAGAAAGCCACGGCUAACUACGUG
rnacentral:rRNA from 1 species